GUUCACAAUCAGACAGUUGCUUAGGUGUAUGCGUGAGUUGUGAUAAACUGACAAGGUUCCUGGUUCCUCCAACAAUAUGUUUCCCUGCAGCCAUCCUUCCUGGACCCACAGGCUGAGUCUGUCCGUGCCCCUCACUUUCACUCCAGGUCAUCACACAUACCGAACUUUGGAAACUGGCUAAGCCUGCCGCAGAGUAAAGCUCACACACCCUCUGCCCUCCCUCAUAGCCUUGCUGUCC